rnacentral:rRNA from 1 species
ACUUUCAACAAUGGAUCUCUUGGCUCUCGCAUCGAUGAAGAACGCAGCGGAAUGCGAUAAGUAAUAUGAAUUGCAGAAUUCCGUGAAUCAUCAAAUCUUUGAACGCAAAUUGCACUUCUUGGUAUUCCGAGGAGUACACAUGCUUGAGGGUCAGUU